GUAAAAAGAUUCAUCAGUACUCUGCCCUCGAGCUCUAUUCACAGAAACUUACUCUCUCUACAAUUACUCUUCCCUCAAACUCCAUAAGACGCCUCUCUCUCUCUCAGAUCGCUUUUCCCUCAAACUACAUAGAUAUUCAAGGUCCGUCGUUUUGCCCUAACCGAGCCCCCUUUCUUACACAACUCUCUCCUUUAGUGCCGUUUUCCAUCACCGGUCAUCGCCGAUGAGAAUCAGUUUUCGAUCACCGGUCACCGCCGCCGAUUUCUCACCUGCAACAUCUCUCGCGCUCUCCAUUACUGCUCUCCCCUUCAGUGCCGUUUUGAAGUUGCAUAAUGAUUUCAGCCUCCCCAAUCGCCUCCAUCUCUAUUCUCGUUCUUAACUCUGAACUUGCCCCCUCUCUCUUUGCAACUGCUAACUUAAUCAGCUUGCCCUGGGGGAAGUCGAAGAUAGCGCUGCAAUAUUUCAGAAAGUGCUUGGAAUCAAGGAGUGGGGUAUGUUUGGAUCGGAGAAUUAUGAUUGAAGCUGCUGAUGGCAUACAAAAUACUAAGUAAAUAGAGUACAAGUAUAUAGAUUUCUAUACUUUAUGGUUCUAUUAGUGCACAAAUUAUUAUAUGCUGGUGGUAGUUUUUUUUUAUUUUUUAUUUUCAGUCUUAUUUCUGAUAGUUGUGUGUAUAUGGAGAAUUUUUUUUUUUUUUUUUUAUUAGUUAAGGAUAAGACAGCAUCUACAAUAUUCCAUUUACUGGGAAAAAAAUAAUAAUAAUAAUAAAAAAGAUCUACAAUAGUUCAAUCUUUGUUGUCAAGUUUGAUUGAUUAGAAUGAUAGAAAUUACUAAAUCUUUCUCAUCUUCAGUGAUUUUUAUAUUUUUCUUACGGAUGGAAAUAUUUGAUGCUUUUGUUGAUUUUCUACUCUCUGUGUCAGUUUAUUUCUCUGGUUUAAAAGUAUAGAGGAUCAGUUCUUGGAUGGUGCCAAGAUUCAAGCCCCAGGUCUACAAAAAAAAAAAAAUGAAUAUUGCUUUGCAUAAUUGGGUGAUAUCUCAAUUUUUCUGAUUAUAAUGCAUUUUCUUCUUGAAAUUGCUAGCUGUUUCUCAUCUUCAGGGAUUUUACAAUUUUCUUAUAAGUGGAAAUGUGUGAUGCUUUUGUGGAUUUUCUGAUCUAUGUAUUAGUCUAUCUUUCUGGAUUUAAAAUAUAGGAAACUAGUAUUUUUGAAGGUGCCAAGUUUCAUACCCUAUGGUGUACAAAUUUUUUUUUGGAUAUUGCUUUGCAUAAUUGGGUGAUAUCCCGACUGGCAGAAAGUGGCAAGAGUGUACAAAUAGGUGUGCUGAACUUUUGCUACAGAGAUCUUACAAUGCUGCAACUAGUGCAUUAGGAAAAAUUGCGAAGGCCUUAUCGUGAAGCACUUACUUAGAGAAAUUACUUGAAAUGAAAGGAGAGGCUUUUUUCAUGGUAUGGAAGCAUGCCUCAGGGAUCAUCAACUUUAUUAGCUGUCAACGUACGUGAACUUUUACAAUGCAAGGCAUUUAUCCUGAAAAUAAGUUAAAUCAGCCAAAUAAGAGCUUAAUUGAAGCAAUUCUAAGAUUAAACAAAGAAAGGAGUAAAGUGGAGAAAGAAAGAAGCAAAUGCAGCCAAAGGUGGGAAGCAGUAAAGUUCGAUCGAUCCAACUUUAAGGUUCGAUCGAUCGAACACUGAUCGAUCUCAGUACUUUAAGAUAGAUUCAAACCUUGACCCAAAGCAGAAAGUUCAAAGUUCGAUCGAAACACCACCAUUCGAUCGAUCGAACACUUUUGUCCUUAUUUAAAUGAUUGAUCUUAUCCACAGCUGUACCACCCACUAACCACUUUUGUCUUUUUCCCAAAAAUAUUUCCCAAAAUAUCUCGGAUUUGUCUUUUCCCAAAAAGCUUAACUAGUUGGAUCGAUCCAGCCUUAGUUCGAUAGAUAUCAGCUAAGUUUGAUCGAUCCGACUCCAAGGUUCGAUCGAUUGAACUUCCUCCAGUGCGAAAAAGUUAAAAAGCCAGCUUGUGCAAUCCGUCCUCUAUCCAAUCAUUAGAGAAUAUUAUUUGCACGAUCCCAGCUCAUUUUGUGUGUCACUUGACCUGUCUAUAAAAGAAAUAUGAUACACUUUUUGAGUGGGAGAGAAUUCUAGGGAUUAUUCAAAAAGGAGGCAAGCCUUAGAGAGGAAGAAAAGGAGGAGGAGGCUAGAGACAUCAUUGGAGUUCUUCAUCAACAAGGAGCAGAUCUCUUCUAUGGAGUUAGCAUUUGAGGGUUGGAGCAACAUCACCAUGAGUGGCUAGACAUCCUUUUGGGGCUAGAGUUAGUCCCAAACAUGCUUUCUAUAUCUUAAUCUUGUGUAUUAUUGAGGGAAUAGUGUUGUAAUUAAUGUUUUGACACUUUGAUAUAUGUAGAUCUUGAUUGUUCAAUGAUUUAUGUGGUUAAAUGCUUUCAAUUGAUCAUU